UCGGCGGGCUGAUGCGCACGUUCACGCCGGAAAUAUCGGCAGACGGCUCUCCGUGCCGUAGGCGCCGCCCAGGCUCGACUCCAUGGCCCUGCCAUCCUUGGAGCAAGUGCAGUUAUAGAGAAGCAGUAAAUUACUCUCAUCAGCUAGGCAUCAAGCAGAUUACAGUCCAUUGCAAGUUAUGGAGAAGCAGUAAGUUACUCUCAUCAGCUAGGCAUCGAGCAGAUUCAGUCCAUUGCAAGGUUUGCAGCUGGGAGAAGCCCAGAGAUUUAGAGUACCGCUUCAACAAGUUUCCGCUGAUUCAGCUGUAGUACCAAACUUUUUUGAUGGAUUCUGUUGGUUAAAUGUAUUAUGGAGAGCUUCCGCCUCCCUGUGAUUCAGCUGGAUUUCCGUUAAACGGUUGAGGAAAGGCUCGUCGAGUCUCCAAUGGUUUUCUUUUCCAAGCGCCAGAUGCUCGCCGAUACGGGUCGUGUGGAAGAAAAUUGUCCAAGCGCCCGGCAAUUGAUUAAAUCUGUGCAGCAGAGCAGAAGGGAUGUGGGUCACGGCAUUGUGCUAGUGUUGCACUGCAGAAGAGGAGAUAACUUAACUCGAUGCAUAUCUGUCAUGAGGAGAAGAGAGAGGAAGCCUGCUAUUGUGAUUUUGCUUCAAUUGGAUUCCGACCAAGGUCACCAUGGAGGGAUCAAAAAACUGAGUGCUCAGGAGGUACCAGUUGGUCAACGAUAAUGAACCCCAAUUCAUGCACAUUCUAUUAUUGGUCCUUGUUCUCCAAGAUCCGCAAAGCAUGCACAAGAGGAUUCCGUCAAAAUCGAGGUGAGACAUCUUUUACUGGAGUGGCCUCUGUUGCUACUUUCUUAGGUUUCCUGCAAGAUAACUAUGGAGAUCAGGUGUGAACUGAUUGAGUAAACAAACCACCACAAGAAUUAUCAAUCUAAACUAAUGCAUAGGGUUAUCUUUAUUGCCUGCACAUGUUGUGAGGUCAUAUAUCUAGUGUUCAAGAAUCAAGAUCAUAGCAUCAUGCCAGAGCCAUCAUGACCAAGGAAAUGAAUCAAAAGCUCGUGUGGAUAGUUCAAAUCUUUUUUACCAAAAUUUAAACAAAUUCAUAAUGCAAUUGGAAAAGGUAAUAAGGAAGGCAUAAUUUGUAAGCAUCUUGGAGUAAUUUGCUAGCCUUUUAACAUUAGUA